rnacentral:rRNA from 1 species
UACGUAGGGCGCAAGCGUUGUCCGGAAUUAUUGGGCGUAAAGAGCUCGUAGGCGAUUUGUCGCGUCUGUCGUGAAAGCUUGGGGCUUAACCCCAAGUCUGCGGUGGAUACGGGCAGACUAGAGGCAGGUAGGGGAGAACGGAAUUCCCGGUGUAGCGGUGAAAUGCGCAGAUAUCAGGAGGAACACCGAUGGCGAAGGCAGGUCUCUGGGCAUUAACUGACGCUGAGGAGCGAAAGCAUGGGGAGCGAACAGG